rnacentral:rRNA from 1 species
CCUACGGGAGGCAGCAGUGAGGAAUAUUGGUCAAUGGUCGUAAGACUGAACCAGCCAAGUAGCGUGCAGGAUGACGGCCCUAUGGGUUGUAAACUUCUUUUAUGUGGGGAUAAAAUGUGCCACGUGUGAUGUUUUGUAUGUACCGCAUGAAUAAGGAUCGGCUAAUUCCGUGCCAGCAGCCGCGGUAAUACGGAGGAUCCGGGCGUUAUCCGGAUUUAUUGGGUUUAAAGGGAGCGUAGGCCGAUUGUUAAGUGUGCCGUGAAAUGCCGUGGCUCAACCGUAGAACUGCAGUUGAAACUGGCAGGCUUGAGUACACGAGAGGUGGGCGGAAUUCGUGGUGUAGCGGUGAAAUGCUUAGAUAUCACGAAGAACUCCGAUUGCGAAGGCAGCUCACGGCAGCGCAACUGACGCUGAGGCUCGAAAGCGCGGGUAUCGAACAGGAUUAGAUACCCCUGUAGUC